rnacentral:rRNA from 1 species
GGGGAAUUUUGGACAAUGGGCGAAAGCCUGAUCCAGCCAUUCCGCGUGAGUGAAGAAGGCCUUCGGGUUGUAAAGCUCUUUCGCAAGGGAAGAAAACUUAUAUUCUAAUAAAGUAUGAGGAUGACGGUACCUUGAUAAGAAGCACCGGCUAACUACGUGCCAGCAGCCGCGGUAAUACGUAGGGUGCGAGCGUUAAUCGGAAUUACUGGGCGUAAAGCGUGCGCAGGCGGUGUUGAAAGUCAGAUGUGAAAUCCCCGAGCUCAACGUGGGAACUGCGUUUGAAACUCCAAAGCUAGAGUAUAGGAGAGGGGGGUAGAAUUCCACGUGUAGCAGUGAAAUGCGUAGAGAUGUGGAGGAAUAACAAUGGCGAAGGCAGCCCCCUGGCCUAAUACUGACGCUCAUGCACGAAAGCGUGGGGAGCAAACA